GGGAGUGAAGCUCAAUGGUAGAGUGCUUGCCUAGCAUGCAAGAAGCCCUGGAUUCAAUCCUCAGCAUCA
rnacentral:tRNA from 1 species